AAAAGAUCAACUAGUGGAUGGAGCCUUUGACUUGAACCUGUCAUGUAGCAGUGCUAGAUAAAUGGUGACUCUAGUAAGAGCCUUCUCUUACCACAGGUUCGCCCCUUCAUGCAGCUUCAAGCUUUCUGAAUUCAGAGCCUUUCUCCAGCCAUUGACAGAUGUGAACAAUCCGUUGCCAUGUGGACUCCUUAUACAGUUUCACCAUUUGCCGAAGCAAUGAGUCCACUGUCUCCAUGUGGGACACAAGGGACGCAAGUAAGAACUAAAAGAAAGGUAAGAA
rnacentral:lncRNA from 1 species